UCAACAUUUGCUCAAACAACGUGCUUUCAACAAUUUUUUUUUUUUUUUUGAUAAUUUUUUGCAUUAAAAUUUGAUAAAAGUUAAUAAUUAAAAUUUUCUGUAAAAAUGUCAGAAAAAUUAUCUUCUCCUGAUUUGGCGAGAAAUGAUGAUAUUGUACCUGAAGGCAUUCCAACGAUUGUUGAUAUUGCCGCUAACAAAUCCUGUGGAAAGAAAAAUCCGCCAAACAUACCAAAAAAAACGACUGCUUUUCAAAAAUCUUCUGACAAAAAUGAAAAUGAUGAAAAAAAAUUUGCAUCAUCAGAACCUUCAAAAAAUAUGCAAGUAGGAUCUUCGAAGCCAGGAAAUAAUUCAGGAAAAUCUUUGAAUCAGUUACAAGAGGAUGCUUUAAAUGACAUUUUUUAAUUUAAUUUAUUUUUUUUUUUGUAAAUAUUUUAAAUUAAUAUUUGAAAAAAAAAUAUUAAAAAAAUAAAAAUAAAAAAAAAUUAAAAAUAAUAAAGACAAGAAAUUUC